AUGGCUGCGGCGACGGCGAUGGCCAUGCUGGCGGCGCUGGCGAUCCUCGUCCUCAUGCCGUCGGCGCGAGGGCUCGGCCGCGCCGAGUUCCCGCCGGGGUUCCUCUUCGGCGUCGCGACGUCUGCUUACCAGAUCGAGGGCGCGUACCUGGAGGACGGCAAGGGCCUCAGCAACUGGGAUUUCUUCACCCACACAAACUGUAAGUCAUCUUCUCGGUUUUCUGGAGCUUCCAUGUCCUUGCGUGAUCCAUGGCAGUACCAUGUGUGUGGGUGUCGGUGUUCUUUUUUUUUUUUAGGAUUGUGUGAUCCAUGUUGCUUAGGGGGAUAA
rnacentral:rRNA from 1 species